ensembl:snRNA
UGGUCUCCCAAAAGGAGAGAAGGUUAGCACUCCCCAUGACAAGGAUGGGAGAGGUCUUUGGGCCUAACAACAGGGUUAAGACAUUACCACCUACUCUCCAGUGUUU